GAUGAACGCUGGCGGCGUGCCUAAUACAUGCAAGUCGAGCGAACGGACGAGAAGCUUGCUUCUCUGAUGUUAGCGGCGGACGGGUGAGUAACACGUGGAUAACCUACCUAUAAGACUGGGAUAACUUCGGGAAACCGGAGCUAAUACCGGAUAAUAUUUUGAACCGCAUGGUUCAAAAGUGAAAGACGGUCUUGCUGUCACUUAUAGAUGGAUCCGCGCUGCAUUAGCUAGUUGGUAAGGUAACGGCUUACCAAGGCAACGAUGCAUAGCCGACCUGAGAGGGUGAUCGGCCACACUGGAACUGAGACACGGUCCAGACUCCUACGGGAGGCAGCAGUAGGGAAUCUUCCGCAAUGGGCGAAAGCCUGACGGAGCAACGCCGCGUGAGUGAUGAAGGUCUUCGGAUCGUAAAACUCUGUUAUUAGGGAAGAACAUAUGUGUAAGUAACUGUGCACAUCUUGACGGUACCUAAUCAGAAAGCCACGGCUAACUACGUGCCAGCAGCCGCGGUAAUACGUAGGUGGCAAGCGUUAUCCGGAAUUAUUGGGCGUAAAGCGCGCGUAGGCGGUUUUUUAAGUCUGAUGUGAAAGCCCACGGCUCAACCGUGGAGGGUCAUUGGAAACUGGAAAACUUGAGUGCAGAAGAGGAAAGUGGAAUUCCAUGUGUAGCGGUGAAAUGCGCAGAGAUAUGGAGGAACACCAGUGGCGAAGGCGACUUUCUGGUCUGUAACUGACGCUGAUGUGCGAAAGCGUGGGGAUCAAACAGGAUUAGAUACCCUGGUAGUCCACGCCGUAAACGAUGAGUGCUGAGUGUUAGGGGGUUUCCGCCCCUUAGUGCUGCAGCUAACGCAUUAAGCACUCCGCCUGGGGAGUACGACCGCAAGGUUGAAACUCAAAGGAAUUGACGGGGACCCGCACAAGCGGUGGAGCAUGUGGUUUAAUUCGAAGCAACGCGAAGAACCUUACCAAAUCUUGACAUCCUUUGACAACUCUAGAGAUAGAGCUUUCCCCUUCGGGGGACAAAGUGACAGGUGGUGCAUGGUUGUCGUCAGCUCGUGUCGUGAGAUGUUGGGUUAAGUCCCGCAACGAGCGCAACCCUUAAGCUUAGUUGCCAUCAUUAAGUUGGGCACUCUAAGUUGACUGCCGGUGACAAACCGGAGGAAGGUGGGGAUGACGUCAAAUCAUCAUGCCCCUUAUGAUUUGGGCUACACACGUGCUACAAUGGACAAUACAAAGGGCAGCGAAACCGCGAGGUCAAGCAAAUCCCAUAAAGUUGUUUUCAGUUUGGAUUGUAGUUUGCAACUUGACUACAUGAAGCUGGAAUCGCUAGUAAUUGUAGAUCAGCAUGCUACGGUGAAUACGUUCCCGGG
rnacentral:rRNA from 1 species